rnacentral:piRNA from 1 species
UCCUAAGUCCAGUCUCUAUCAUAGGGUCCC